GAUGAACGCUGGCGGCGUGCCUAAUACAUGCAAGUCGAGCGAACAGACGAGGGGCUUGCUCCUCUGACGUUAGCGGCGGACGGGUGAGUAACACGUGGAUAACCUACUUAUAAGACUGGGAUAACUUCGGGAAACCGGAGCUAAUACCGGAUAAUAUAUUGAACCGCAUGGUUCAAUAGUGAAAGACGGUUUUGCUGUCACUUAUAGAUGGAUCCGCGCCGCAUUAGCUAGUUGGUAAGGUAACGGCUUACCAAGGCAACGAUGCGUAGCCGACCUGAGAGGGUGAUCGGCCACACUGGAACUGAGACACGGUCCAGACUCCUACGGGAGGCAGCAGUAGGGAAUCUUCCGCAAUGGGCGAAAGCUUGACGGAGCAACGCCGCGUGAGUGAUGAAGGUCUUCGGAUCGUAAAACUCUGUUAUUAGGGAAGAACAAAUGUGUAAGUAACUAUGCACGUCUUGACGGUACCUAAUCAGAAAGCCACGGCUAACUACGUG
rnacentral:rRNA from 1 species